CCGGAGCCUGCCCGGGGGCGCGGUAAGCCGUGGGGCGAAUAGAGGCGUUCGGCGAGGCUGGCUGCGGCGCGCGCACAAGCACACGCACCGCGGGGCUUUACCCACUCGGCGCCCGGGCGGGGGGCGGGCCGAGGGCAGGCCGGGCGGGGGCAAGGGCCGAGGGCCAGCUAGUGCCCGUCGCCCGCCUGCCUGCUUUCAGCCACCUGAGGGGACCGCACGCAGCUCGUCAUCUCUGGGGGGCUGGCGUGAGUCCCUCGAGGUCCGGCGGCGACUGUAAAUAGAGCCUGGAUGUUGUUUACAUGAAGGAUCCGGCGGGAGGAGUCUGCAAGGAGGAGGCGGAGGAGGCGGUGGCGGAGGAGGAGGAAGCGGAGGAGGAGGGAGGUAGGAGAGAGGAAGACCGGAGUCCCCCCGGCGGCAGCGGCGGCGGUCCGGUCCGGGGUGAGGGCCAAUGAGUCCCUUCCCUCACUCUGCUGCCCACUCACAAGAAGCCACCUUCUUGGAGGAGGACCACACCUGUGCUUAUUCCAGCUUUGGAGGAGAGAUGCAGAAUAGAGGAUCUGAGAAAGGUGAACUCUGCAGAAAAGAGGAGUAUAAUUGUGUUUCUGGAAUGGCCCCCGGCUCUACAAUUGGAGGUCUUUUCCUCAAGAUGGACCUGCUAUGAGUUAUGGAGCAUGAGACUAUUUACAGCAUCACCAUUUGCUGGUCUGUGAACCCACUUUUUAUUCUGCUUUCCCUCAUCUCGAACCAGAAGGGGAUCUUUAGUCUUCUACUUCAUGGGAACUUUCAGAGAGAGUCAUUGGUCGCCUGGAAAGGACUCCACCAGCCUGCACAGUGACUGACAGGCUGCCCUGGCUCAGUUAUCACAGUGCUGAUGCUGUCCAUUCUAAAGGUACAGUACUGUGAUAACUGAAGGAUGGCAGCCAUCUUGCCUUCCAUCAAAGGAGCCAUCGUGCCCAGAAAGGAAGACAGAAGAUGAAAGAGGCGUGUGAAACAGGUGCAGGGGUCCAGAAACCCUCUCCACUCUUCCUGUAUUGUACUUUCCCUAGCACGGAGCGAGUGUUAUUCCCUCUGUCUUUGCCUUAUUUUUAACAUGGGGAUAAAGGAAGUUGGGUAGUUGUUUGCACAGCAGCAUGAAGACUUAUACUGAAUUGAUACAUAUUAUGAUCUUUGGAGCUUUUAGGAGACUGAUAUAAGUACUGAGUGUGAAUGAGUAUUUUGGGAGGGAAGUUCAGAGAAAUCUGUGCUGUUUUUAUAAAUAUAAAUGUUAGCCUAAUUAGAGUAGCUUGGCACUUGUCAAUAUAACCUACUCAAAGUGCAAUUCAGCUUAAAUGGAGAAAAAAAGCCCUACAUGCUGAACAGUACUGAUACAGUUCAGCGGUUUUCACCCUUUUUCAUCUCAUGACACAUAAUAAACUAAUUACUAAAAUUCUGUGGCCAGUCUGACCAAAAAAUAGGUAUAAUGUUGAUUCAUUGACAUCAGACAACUUUCGUUCGGUGGACAUUGUCAUUUAUUUGACGGUCUAAGGGGAAAGAGGUCGGUGCCCCUAAAUAAAUAAUCAAGUAUCACACAUUUUAAAAAUUCUUGUGGUACACUGGUUAAAAAUCGCUGAUAUAGUUGCAUGAAUAAAAUUACAUCUUUUUGUUUAAGAAAUGGGUAUGGAUGUAGCAUAUUUUUUUCUAUAACAUGAAUGUUUAAACUCUUGUGUAAUUCAAAACAGUGUUUGUUGAAUGCCCAUGUUAUUGCUGUUGGUGUCACCUUUACAUGAAAAUAAAAGUUACU